rnacentral:rRNA from 1 species
CACGUAGGGCGCGAGCGUUGUCCGGAAUUAUUGGGCGUAAAGAGCUCGUAGGCGGCCUGUUGCGUCCGCUGUGAAAGCCCGGGGCUUAACCCCGGGUCGGCAGUGGAUACGGGCAGGCUAGAGGUAGGUAGGGGAGAAUGGAAUUCCCGGUGUAGCGGUGAAAUGCGCAGAUAUCUGGAGGAACACCGGUGGCGAAGGCGGCAUCCUGGACCGGCAUUGACGCUGAGGCGCGAAAGCCAGGGGAGCAAACGGG